GUGCCAUGACAACUUUGCUGGGAGGGCAUAAUGUGUGUAAUUAGCCGUGCCAUGGGAAAUGUACAUUGACUAUCUCACUGAGAGGAAGGGAAGUGUUUGUAUACCUGAACAAGGAGUGAACAAUAUGAUUGCAGAGGGGGUUGGUGUGUGAGUGGACAUUAUUCUCAGCCAGUACUCAAGGAGAAAGGAUGGACCUGUCAGCAGUCUGCC